AACCAACCGGGAUUGCCUUAGUAACGGCGAGUGAAGCGGCAAAAGCUCAAAUUUGAAAUCUGGUACCUUCGGUGCCCGAGUUGUAAUUUGGAGAGGGCAACUUUGGGGCCGUUCCUUGUCUAUGUUCCUUGGAACAGGACGUCAUAGAGGGUGAGAAUCCCGUGUGGCGAGGAGUGCGGUUCUUUGUAAAGUGCCUUCGAAGAGUCGAGUUGUUUGGGAAUGCAGCUCUAAGUGGGUGGUAAAUUCCAUCUAAAGCUAAAUAUUGGCGAGAGACCGAUAGCGAACAAGUACAGUGAUGGAAAGAUGAAAAGAACUUUGAAAAGAGAGUGAAAAAGUACGUGAAAUUGUUGAAAGGGAAGGGCAUUUGAUCAGACAUGGUGUUUUGUGCCCUAUGCUCCUUGUGGGUAGGGGAAUCUCGCAUUUCACUGGGCCAGCAUCAGUUUUGGUGGCAGGAUAAAUCCAUAGGAAUGUAGCUUGCCUCGGUAAGUAUUAUAGCCUGUGGGAAUACUGCC
rnacentral:rRNA from 1 species